AGGGAUUUAGCUCAGCGGCAUAAGCCCCUGCCUUGCAAGCAGGCGGUCGUGAGUCCAAUCCCUG
rnacentral:tRNA from 1 species